rnacentral:misc_RNA from 1 species
GAUGAAGAACGCAGCGAAAUGCGAUAAGUAAUGCGAAUUGCAGAAUUCCAGUGAGUCAUCGAAUCUUUGAACGCACAUUGCGCCCUUUGGUAUUCCGAAGGGCAUGCCUGUUCGAGCGUCAUUAUCACCCCUCAAGCCCUCGGCUUGGUGUUGGACGGUUUGGUGGAGGCCCCCUCGGGGGUUCCUGCCCCUCCCAAAGACAAUGACGGCGGCCUCGUUGGACCCCCGGUACACUGAGUUCUUCACAGGACACGUAUCGGACACAUGGGUUUACGGGACACGGUCUGCCUCCCCUCAGGGAGAAUCUUUCUAAGGUUGACCUCGGAUCAGGUAGGGAUACCCGCUGAACUUAAGCAUAUCAAUAAGCGGAGGA